rnacentral:rRNA from 1 species
GACGAACGCUGGCGGCGUGCCUAAUACAUGCAAGUAGAACGCUGAAGAGAGGAGCUUACUCUUCUUGGAUGAGUUGCGAACGGGUGAGUAACGCGUAGGUAACCUGCCUUGUAGCGGGGGAUAACUAUUGGAAACGAUAGCUAAUACCGCAUAACAAUGGAUGACACAUGUCAUUUAUUUGAAAGGGGCAAUUGCUCCACUACAAGAUGGACCUGCGUUGUAUUAGCUAGUAGGUGAGGUAAUGGCUCACCUAGGCGACGAUACAUAGCCGACCUGAGAGGGUGAUCGGCCACACUGGGACUGAGACACGGCCCAGACUCCUACGGGAGGCAGCAGUAGGGAAUCUUCGGCAAUGGGGGCAACCCUGACCGAGCAACGCCGCGUGAGUGAAGAAGGGUUUCGGAUCGUAAAGCUCUGUUGUAAGUCAAGAACGGGUGUGAGAGUGGAAAGUUCACACUGUGACGGUAGCUUACCGGAAAGGGACGGCUAACUACGUG